rnacentral:tRNA from 1 species
GCGCCCGUAGCUUAACGGAUAGAGCGCCGGCCUCCGGAGCCGGCAAUUCCGGUUCAAAUCCGGACGGGCGCG